UAUUGAUUUUUAUAAUAAGUUUUUUCUGCCCGGUGGUGUUUUAACGGCCGCGGUAUUUUGACCGUGCAAAGGUAGCAUAAUCAUUUGUCCUUUAAUUGGGGGCUAGAAUGAAAGAAAGCAUGAAGCUUUCCCUGUCUCUCUUUUAUUUUUGUAAUUUGCUGUUUUUGUGAAGAAGCAAAAGUUGUCGAAAAAGACAAGAAGACCCUAUUAAGCUUUAUCUUUUUGUUUUUAUUCAGUUGAAUAUAAAAACAAAAAGAUUUGGUUGGGGUGACUAAAGAAGAAAAAUUUAUCUUCUUUUUUAAAAGGAACCAUUUGUUUAAGAAAGACCCAGAACUUUUUGGUUGUAAGAAUUAGUUACUAUAGGGAUAACAGCGUUAUCUUUUCAUAAAGUUCUUAUUGAAGAAAAGGAUUGCGACCUCGAUGUUGACUUAUUUUAUCCUGUUGAGGUGUAGCAGCUGUAAGGGUUGGUCUGUUC
rnacentral:rRNA from 1 species